rnacentral:misc_RNA from 1 species
AACGCACAUUGCGCCCGCCAGCAUUCUGGCGGGCAUGCCUGUUCGAGCGUCAUUUCAACCCUCGAGCCCGACUCUUCGGAGGACGGCUCGGCGUUGGGGGACGGCAGACUCCCCCCGGCAUCUCGCCGGGGACGCCGCCCCCGAAAUUUAGUGGCGGCCCUUUGAGGCGACCUCUGCGUAGUAACUUGUUCUCGCACCGGAAAACUCAGAGCGGCCACGCCGUAAAACCCCAACUUUUUUUAGGUUGACCUCGAAUCAGGUAGGACUACCCGCUGAACUUAA